CAUGUUCACAGCAUGGAUGAACCUGAAAACAUGUUAAGUGGAAGAAACCAGUCACAAAGGCCAUGAAGUGUAUGAUCCCAUUUCUAUAAAAUAUCCAUAAUAAGCAAAUUCGUGGGGACAAAAGGGUGAAUUAGUGGUUACUAGGGGGCUGCGGGGAUUGGGAAAUGGGGAGUAAUGCGGUCGGAUAUGGAGUUUCUUGUUAGGGUGAUGACAAUGUGCUGGAAAUAGAUAGAGGU